AGAAAAGAAGAAGAAAAAAACAGUGCCCCGCACAACCCUGCUUCCUCAAUCCCAUCUCCACCUCCAUCCCGCCGCCACCUCCUGCCCCACGUCGCCCGCCCCACACCGCGUCCCUCCCCAAACGGUGGCGAUGAUGGAAGCGCUGCCCAGCUCCUGACCGACGGAUUCACCGUCUCCCCGCUCCUCGGGGAAGAGAGGAAGAAAGGAGAAGGAGAAGGGGCACAAGGUGAGGGAGGCGGUCGCCGGCGGUGGUGGCUUUGGUGAGCCACCGGCAGGCAGGGAGCCGAGCUCCUGUUGAGGCGGCGGGGCUCGGUGUGGGCUGGUUCCUCCGGAUCGAGCCCUUCUCAUCUUCCUCUCAUUCACUUGGCUCCUGGUUCCUCUGUAUCGAGCCCUUUCUCAUCUUCCUCUCAUUCGCUUGGCUCCUUCCCUCACGAUUGGUGCCCGGGCAUCGCCAUCGCCAUGGACGGCCUGCACAGCGCCGACGCCCGCUUCUCCCCCGGGAGGGCCAUGUCGCCUCAGGUCCGGCCCCCCGCUGGCCCGCCGGACAUAGGCAGGUGGGCGGCCUCGCUGAAUUGGUUGCCUCUGUUUUUUCAUUGGUCAUCGAAUGUCCACCCACGGAGACCAGCACCCUAUGGAUCGCCAAGCUCUGUUCAGACCAAAAGAUAAGCGCAGGUAAGUACAAUUCACCAUAAUCUAUCAUCGAUCAAUAUAUGUUUGCCAUUUCCAAGAAAGUAGAUACACUACUGCAGAUUGACGAAUGGAUAAAGCAAUAUCUCAAAGGUUUUUGCCGCCGCUGGUUGUUGGAUUCAUAAGACCUGCCUUUUAGACUUGGCAAUGGACUUGGGAUUAUUGAUGGCCUAGCCACUGAACAGUGAACGAAGGAGUCAGAGGUAGCUUGAAGCACAAAUGCUUCACCGGCCUUGAUAAAACUCAUGCCUGCACAUGGAGCAGUCCUGAAUGGUUCACACAGAUCAUUUUUUACUGCAGCUUUUGUUUUUCAUUUUCAUCUUUUGAACCUGAAGAAGAAUGCAAGCUAAUGAAUUACCAUAAGCCUGAGACUCUUAUUCCUGUUGAGACUAGCUACAGACUUUUGUGAACUGGUCAAGUCUGAAUUUUUUUGUUGGGUAGACAUAUAUUUUGCGGUGGCUGGAGUGUACUGGCAUGGUUACGUAGGUCCACUCAUGAAACAAUAUCCCUGUAUCAAAUUUCUCAACCCAAUCCAUCAGCAUGCAUUUAAGAACGAGAAUUUACAUGCCAAAUAUUUUCUCCAUGGUUAGGAAUUGGUAUAUAUGUACCUCUGUAUCAAUAUCUCCCUUUUUUCAUAAUAGUUUGUUACAUAACCAAAAAUAGGUGGAACUUCUUCCACACUGUGUCAGUUCUUUACAUUACUUAGAUGUUUUAUUUCUCAGUUUUUGUUUGCACAGGUACCAUCAAUUUCAGUUUUCAUUAAUUCAUUUUAGUCUUCAGCACGACAGUCUCUAUUUCAUUAGUAAUUGGUAUAUCUUGUUAUUUUUAGUUAUAUAUUAUUCAGCUCAUUUUUUUGUCUGGUGUGGUGAUUCUUCGGUAUUUCUUAUAAUUAUUCAUUUAUCUGCCUAAUUCUCAAUCUUGUCAUUUGUCAUUUCUUGGUUAUAGUCCACAUACGGAUGUAUAUAGACAUAUUUUAGAGUGUAGAUUCACUCAUUUUGCUCCGUAUGUAGUCACUUGUUGAAAUCUCUAAAAAGACAAAUAUUUAGGAACGGAGGGAGUACUUGUUUCAUGUAGGUUUUGGAAUUUCUUGAAGCUGUACAGUUCAGAUGUCCAGACUGGAAGCUGUUGGAUGGACCGGUUACAAAAAAAUAGGUGCUCAUUCGUUGGAUUUAUGUGCUAUUUUGUGUUCCAAGAAAGGGUUAUCUGCUAGGUGUCCCCUUCUCACAUUGGCCCACUUUGAUUAUUUGACUGUACCGCCUUACACUGAUGACAACAGUUUCAACUUAGUAAGCCAUAUGCUGAUAUUCAUAUGACUGUGAUCUCAGAAAUAAAAGUUCAUAGGAAAGGAACAUAAACCUUCACUAAACAUAGAGUUGUGUUGUACCUGUACUGAGAAAGAUUUGUAAAGUAUGAAAAUUUGUGUUGAGAUGAAACAAAUUAUGAUUAUUAGUCA